rnacentral:rRNA from 1 species
GAAUAUUGGACAAUGGGGGCAACCCUGAUCCAGCAAUGCCGCGUGUGUGAAGAAGGCCUGCGGGUUGUAAAGCACUUUCAGUAGAGAAGAAAAGCCUAAGGUUAAUAACCUUGAGUCUUGACGUAACCUACAGAAGAAGCACCGGCUAACUCCGUGCCAGCCGCCGCGGUAAUACGGAGGGUGCAAGCGUUAAUCGGAAUUACUGGGCGUAAGGCGCACGUAGGUGGUUUGGUAAGUCGGAUGUGAAAGCCCUGGGCUUAACCUGGGAAUUGCAUUCGAUACUGCUUGACUAGAGUAUGGUAGAGGGAAGUGGAAUUUCCGGUGUAGCGGUGAAAUGCGUAGAUAUCGGAAGGAACACCAGUGGCGAAGGCGACUUCCUGGGCCAAUACUGACACUGAGGUGCGAAAGCGUGGGUAGCAAACAAGA